rnacentral:rRNA from 1 species
AGACGUCUACAUUAGAUACCCCUGUAGUCCCAGCCGUAAACUAUGCGCGUUAGGUGUAUCGGUGACCACGAGUCACCGAGGUGCCGAAGGGUAGCCGUUAAACUCGCUGCCUGGGGAGUACGGUCGCAAGGCUGAAACUUAAAGGAAUUGGCGGGGAGCACCACAAGAGGUGGAGGCUGCGGUUCAAUUGGACUCAACGCCGGAAAACUCAUCGGGAGCGACAGCAGUAUGAUUGCCAGGUUGAUGACCUUGCUUGACAAGCUG